CCUGAGGGUAGCGAGAGACGUGACAGGACCGAGCAGCUGGGGGCUGCAGCCUGCUCUGUCCCCACCGAUCCCAGAGAGAGGCUGAGUCUGAAUCUGGGCGUUCGCGCCCUGAGAGAGGCUCCCCUGCGGGCCCGAGGAAGAAGAGCAAGGUUGAGGACAGCCUCGGGUCACCAGAGUAGUUUGGAGGCCGGCCUGCAGGCGCGUCCCCGCUCCUCAGCUCCAAGCCGACGUAUCUACACCUGCCGACGGGCAUUAAGAUGGCUGGUUAUGCCACUACUCCCAGCCCCAUGCAGACCCUUCAGGAGGAAGCAGUGUGUGCCAUCUGCUUGGAUUACUUCAAGGACCCCGUGUCCAUCAGCUGUGGGCACAACUUCUGCCGAGGGUGUGUGACCCAGCUGUGGGGUAAGGAGGACGAGGAGGACCAGAACGAGGAGGAAGAUGAAUGGGAGGAGGAGGACGAGGAAGCGGUGGGGGCCAUGGAUGGAUGGGACGGCUCCAUUCGAGAGGUGUUGUAUCCGGGGAAUGCUGACGAAGAGUUGUUCCAAGACCAAGAUGACGAUGAACUCUGGCUCGGUGACAGUGGUAUAACUAAUUGGGACAACGUAGACUAUAUGUGGGACGAGGAGGAAGAAGAGGAAGAUCAGGACUAUUACCUAGGAGGCUUGAGACCUGACCUGAGAAUUGAUGUCUACCAAGAAGAAGAAAUACUGGAAGCAUACGAUGAGGACGAAGAUGAAGAGCUGUAUCCUGACAUCCACCCGCCUCCUUCCUUGCCCCUUCCAGGGCAGUUCACCUGCCCCCAGUGCCGAAAGAGCUUUACACGUCGCAGCUUUCGUCCCAACUUGCAGCUGGCCAACAUGGUCCAGAUAAUUCGCCAGAUGUGCCCCACUCCUUAUCGGGGAAACCGGAGAAAUGAUCAGGGCAUGUGCUUUAAACACCAGGAAGCCCUGAAACUCUUCUGUGAGGUGGACAAAGAGGCCAUCUGUGUGGUGUGCCGAGAAUCCAGGAGCCACAAACAGCACAGCGUGGUGCCUUUGGAGGAGGUGGUUCAGGAGUACCAGGUACUUAGUUGCUAAACUUCUCUUUAUUUGAUGAGGGAGACACGGUGGAGAGAGAUGGUCAUAUGGGUAAAAAAGGAGACACAAAACCAUUAAGGUUGAGGCAGAUUGGCUUCCCCAGAGGAAGCUGAACAGAUAAUAUGACGGUCACUGGAAGCGGACCACCACUGCUAAUACUGGGAGUCUACCUAAGUAUAAGGGACAUGAGUAACAGAUACCCAGUACUUCUCUCUAAUGUGAGUCCUUGACCAAUUCCCUGGGACAGGUACAGAUAGGAAAAGAAAGCCACAGUACUUGGAGAUAAUAGACAUUUGGGACCUCAGCACAAGCAGUGUCAAAAUAGAUGUAUUGGUAGACAGAAAUGCCAGGUGUGAGUCCUAAACUACUGGUAGCAAUUGGCCACACCCCCCUCUGAAAUUCUGGGAUUGCAUCUCUACCUUCAGUGGGGUCCGUUUUCCUUCUAGAGAAAGGCAAAGCAUAUAAGCAUCUUUGAUGGAUCAGAAUGUGCCUCAUAUCCUGAUCACUUUUCUUUCCUGGUAUUUUAUCAUAGUGGAAGGAGUGCGGGAUUUAGGAUCAGAUGACCUGGCUCUGUCACUUACUGUCUAGUCUUGGGCAAGUGUCAACCUCCUUGAGCUUCACUAUU
rnacentral:sRNA from 1 species